CCUACGGGUGGCAGCAGUGGGGAAUAUUGGGCAAUGGGCGCAAGCCUGACCCAGCAACGCCGCGUGAAGGAAGAAGGCUUUCGGGUUGUAAACCUCUUUUAUCAGGGACGAAGAAAGUGACGGUACCUGAUGAAUAAGCCACGGCUAACUACGUGCCAGCAGCCGCGGUAAUACGUAGGUGGCAAGCGUUAUCCGGAUUUACUGGGUGUAAAGGGCGUGUAGGCGGGAGUGCAAGUCCGCUGUGAAAACUAUGGGCUCAACCCAUAGCCUGCAGUUGAAACUGUAGUUCUUGAGUGCUGGAGAGGCAAGCGGAAGGCCGGGUGUAGCGGUGAAAUGCGUAGAUAUACCGAGGAACACCAGUGGCGAAGGCGGAUUACUGGACAGUAACUGACGCUGAGGCGCGAAAGCGUGGGGAGCAAACAGGAUUAGAUACCCCAGUAGUC
rnacentral:rRNA from 1 species